AACACUGCCUGGAUCUGGUCCACGGUCCUCCUCAACCUCACUUCCUACCAUCCUGCCCCUUGCUCAUGGCUCCACCACCCUGGCCUCCUGCCUCCUGAAACGCCUUAAGCACAGUGUCCUCAGCUCAGGGCUAUGCUCUUGUUGUCACCUUGUCCCUCUUCCUUCCCUGCUUCCUUCAGUCUCUGUUCAAAUGUUCCUUCCUCAGAGGGGCCUCAGUGACCACCCCCUCCAAAAAUGGUAUUCUCUCCCCCAUUACCCUGCUUUGCUUUCUUCAUAGCUGGUGACAUUACCUGAGGAUAUGACACAGCUGUUCACCUGCAUUACUGCCUCUUUCCCACUAGAAAAGUCCCAAAAGCUGGAACUUUUCCUACUUCAUUUACUGUUUUAAAACCAGCUCCUAUGGCAGUGCCUGGCACAGAGUGGGCACUCAGAUAUUAGUUGAAUGACUGAGUGAUGGCAUGAGUACCCACUGGAGUGUCCCUUCCCAUCACAAUCAUGCAUGACCCUCUGUGGUCACAAAGCCCUGGUCUCACUGGUACCAAAAGCUGGAUGCCCUGGCCAGGGUGGCUGGGGACAGGAGGCCUGAGUUGAGAAUGACUGGAUGAGCCAGUGAGGGGCUAAGGUGUUUUUUGAGUCCUCUCAUGGGAUUCUGGCCUAGGAAGGACUUAGUUUCCUCACUGCUCAUCUGGGUUGGAAUGAGAGGAAAGGGGUUACUGAGUCCCACGUGCAGAAGGACCUCCCCACAGGGAGGACUGUUACUCAGGGAGGUCUGGAUCACUCUGGGAGCGGGCCCCACCAUGGUAAUUCACUGCCCGGGGAGGCUGUGUCAGGCUGUGGAAAGGAACAGGUUUCAGAGCCAGACCACUGAGUCCUGCCAGGAUAUUUCAUGUUGUAAUUCACUGUGCAGGGUGGAGCCCCAACACCAGAUCUACACCUACUGUCUGUGGGGCCUGGAAGGCAGCUGACCCUUGGUGAGCCUCAGUUUGCUCACUGAGAAAGACACCCUGCCCAACUGUUGCAUAGACUGAAAAUGCAAAGUGCACAAGAGUCUCUGGCCAGGACAGGCAUUGAAGGUCAGCUUGUUCUCCUCCUGGGUGAGUUUUCGGGCAAGUCCACGUUUACUCUAGGUUUUAGCUCCCUUCUAUGUGGCACAAGUUAACCCUUGUCUUCUGCUGAGUUCAGAAGGAAGGGUGAUAUGACCAUAAUCAAGCAAGUUCAUAAACACCCCUUUUCUUAGGAAAAAGACCCAAACACAUGAUUAAAAUAGCCAGCUGUGCUGUGUUAUAAAGGUUACAUCCCUUAUCUUUAUGAUAUGAGGGAAUCAGUAGUGUGGGUAAUGCUAUUUUAGCCCCAUUUGCCUCAUUUUUAUGAGAUUUUGAAAGAUAUGUUGGCCUCAGAUGUAUGGUCUCGAUGGUGUUUGGCACAGGAUGAGUGAAUGAUAGCGACUUUCAGGGGCCAGGCCAGCCCUGCUGAGUGGCUGGGGAAGCCAGUCUGAAGUCAGCACCAGCUGUAGUCCCAUCGCCUAGUGGAGAUGGACCUCAUUGCCCCAUAAGAGGGAUGAAGGCCUGGUUCUAUGCAGAGGUUGGGUGGGCAGUUGCAGCUGGAGACAGGCUGGAAGAGCCCACACAAUGGCUGGGCUUGAAAAUUCAGUCAUUGUUGCUGCUUACGGCAAGUAGUUCUUCAACGUAUUCUGAUUCAUGACUCCUUUUGAGAAUUUGACUAAAAACUAUGGACCCCUCUCUUCAGAAAGAUGCUCCAACCCACAUAAUGCAACAUUUUGCCUGUAAUUUCAGGGGAGGCACAAACCCACUGGGAUCCCCAAGUCAAGUAUGAUGCCUUGGGGAGUAGGGAGAGCUGAGGGGAUGAGGGGACAGAAUGAGGGCAGGAGAUGUAGCCUAGCCAGUGGGGUGGAGCACCAGACGAUAGAAAGGCGACAGGGGAGCUGUCAAAGUGACAACAGUCCUUUACUACUUUCCUAGAGAGGCUCUUGAUGAAAAAAUAAAGCUAAAUGUGGGCAAACAGGAUGCUAAUAUAUCUGUAAGUAUAGCAACAGGGAAAGAAAAGCAGGGGGAAGAGGCCACCCUUAUCCUUUCUGUCAACAAAACCAAACCCAAUGGACUGAGAGUCAGUCCUGUUAUCUCAGCUGGGCUCCCUCCUAUCACUUUUCUAGCUCUUCUUCCAAGACCCAGCUCCCAAUUUGCAGCUGGAGGCCUAACUCUGCAUUUGAAGGAAUUAGGGAUAAAUAAUGAUGGUCAUCAAGAUUAGUGGAGAGGACAAGGGAAUCUGCCAGCAGACUCUGGGCAAACAAAGCCUUUUAAGUUGCAGAAUGAAUUCCCCAAACCUUAAAAAAAAAAUCCCCAAGUGUAUUCAGUAGGGGAAAAGGAAAUUUCAUCUUGAAAACAAAUCUAGAAAAGGUGCUGACAUUUUACAGAUAGGGAGAAUGAAUUGCUCUCCUGCCUUCAGCUAGCCAUGUAAACAGGACCUAAAGAGGCUCCGAAAGCCGAUAACCUCCUUCACUAGCUCGGGAACCAGUGUGAGUCCCAAACGAGCAGAGGGGUGUUAGACGUGGGCUUCAAGGAUCAUGUUUUCAGAAACGCUAUACUUUACAGUGCAGCACCUGUAUAGAAAGAAGCAGGACUGUGAUCUGGGUGGGUGACAGCCUGGGUGAGGAGAGACUCCCACACAGGAGUCAUCAGCCACAGCAUCCACUGUGCAGAACCUCAAAAUGUGUCCCAUGCCCCCUCUGAAUUGAGCAUAAACUUGGACACAUCAAGUCCGCUUCCUUAGACUCAGAGCCCCUAUAGCACAUAUACGCACGAUCUCCAAGGAGAAGUACACAGUAUUAGAUGAGUUCAGCUUACCUUUCGGCUAUUAACAAUUAAUUCGUGCUGCCAUUGUGUUUUUAUAAAAAAGACUUUCUUUUCCACCUCUCUCCCAUUCAUCAUGUUCCAUAGAGCUCAGCUCUGUGAUCAGGAAACCAAUUGUAAAGUCCAGAAUGAGGACACGGGCUCUACAUGGUGUGGAAUGGCAGUGAGACGGGCUAGGACUUCAGAACUCAACUGAUCACACACAGGAGGGAGAAGAACAACCAAGCUGGGCUUCAAGAUGCCUUAUUUGGACACUAGUUUUUGAUGUGUCUCUGAUGGUUAUUAACCAGACAUUUCAAGGGCAAGAAACUAUUUCCCCAAAACUACCUUUUGAGACAUUUCCAGAGGCUGCCCUGUCCUCUCUGUCCAGAGACUCAGCCCCGACUCACCUCCUCUAGGAAGUCUCCCACACGGACCUCGCUCUGCUCCCUCCUCCUCACGGCUGACCCUGCUGGGUCGUCCUGCCAGCUCGGACACUUGUUUGUUGUGGCUUUUGUAAAAUACUCUGUAGUCA
rnacentral:lncRNA from 1 species